rnacentral:rRNA from 1 species
GAUGAACGCUGGCGGCGUGCUUAACACAUGCAAGUCGAACGAAGAUGCCGGAGUGCUUGCACUUUGGCAGACUGAGUGGCGGACGGGUGAGUAACGCGUGGGUAACCUGCCUUAUACAGGGGGAUAACAGUUGGAAACGACUGCUAAUACCGCAUAAGCGCACGGUAUCGCAUGAUACAGUGUGAAAAACUCCGGUGGUAUAAGAUGGACCCGCGUCUGAUUAGCUUGUUGGUGAGGUAACGGCCCACCAAGGCGACGAUCAGUAGCCGGCCUGAGAGGGUGAACGGCCACAUUGGGACUGAGACACGGCCCAAACUCCUACGGGAGGCAGCAGUGGGGAAUAUUGCACAAUGGGGGAAACCCUGAUGCAGCGACGCCGCGUGAGUGAUGAAGUAUUUCGGUAUGUAAAACUCUAUCAGCAGGGAAGAUAAUGUCGGUACCUGACUAAGAAGCACCGGCUAAAUACGUG